AGCUAGUCGGUGAGGUAACGGCCCACCAAGGCGACGAUCGGUAGCCGGACUGAGAGGUUGAACGGCCACAUUGGGACUGAGACACGGCCCAGACUCCUACGGGAGGCAGCAGUGGGGAAUAUUGCACAAUGGGGGAAACCCUGGUGCGGCGACGCCGCGUGGAGGAAGAAGGUCUUCGGAUUGUAAACUCCUGUUGUUGAGGAAGAUAAUGACGGUACUCAACAAGGAAGUGACGGCUAACUACGUGCCAGCAGCCGCGGUAAAACGUAGGUCACAAGCGUUGUCCGGAAUUACUGGGUGUAAAGGGAGCGCAGGCGGGAAGACAAGUUGGAAGUGAAAUCCAUGGGCUCAACCCAUGAACUGCUUUCAAAACUGUUUUUCUUGAGUAGUGCAGAGGUAGGCGGAAUUCCCGGUGUAGCGGUGGAAUGCGUAGAUAUCGGGAGGAACACCAGUGGCGAAGGCGGCCUACUGGGCACCAACUGACGCUGAGGCUCGAAAGUGUGGGUAGCAAACAGGAUUAGAUACCCUGGUAGUCCACACUGUAAACGAUGAUUACUAGGUGUUGGAGGAUUGACCCCUUCAGUGCCGCAGUUAACACAAUAAGUAAUCCACCUGGGGAGUACGACCGCAAGGUUGAAACUCAAAGGAAUUGACGGGGGCCCGCACAAGCAGUGGAGUAUGUGGUUUAAUUCGACGCAACGCGAAGAACCUUACCAAGUCUUGACAUCCUGCGACGGACAUAGAAAUAUGUUUUUCCUUCGGGACGCAGAGACAGGUGGUGCAUGGUUGUCGUCAGCUCGUGUCGUGAGAUGUUGGGUUAAGUCCCGCAACGAACGCAACCCUUAUGGUCAGUUACUACGCAAGAGGACUCUGGCCAGACUGCCGUUGACAAAACGGAGGAAGGUGGGGAUGACGUCAAAUCAUCAUGCCCUUUAUGACUUGGGCUACACACGUACUACAAUGGCGUUAAACAAAGAGAAGCAAGACCGCGAGGUGGAGCAAAACUCAGAAACAACGUCCCAGUUCGGACUGCAGGCUGCAACUCGCCUGCACGAAGUCGGAAUUGCUAGUAAUCGCAGAUCAGCAUGCUGCGGUGAAUACGUUCCCGGGCCUUGUACACACCGCCCGUCACACCAUGAGAGCCGGGGGGACCCGAAGUCGGUAGUCUAACCGCAAGGAGGACGCCGCCGAAGGUAAAACUGGUGAUUGGGGUGAAGUCGUAACAAGGUAGCCGUAGGAGAACCUGCGGCUG
rnacentral:rRNA from 1 species